UUGUCGGACCACUUUGACUAUGGACCCAUUGGCUAGCAAAAAUGUUAGCAAACAAGUAAGCUAAGUGUGCUGUGUGUGAGCUGCUUUGAUCACACCAACUGUAUGACUGACCAGUACAUUCUGUUCAGCUACCACAGAAAACCAAAAAAAU